UAGGGAAAAAUAAUUUCAUCAUUAGAGACAGAAGUUAUGAAUUAUGGACUCCUAGGUCUUAAACUGAACAAAUGGCUGUUAUUUUUUCUUUCUGUGGGUGUUACCAAUCUCUGUGUAAUUCCAUUCCCAUAAUGAAUAACCUCAGAGGCAACAAUGAUAUGCUUACAUAAAACCUCAGCAUUAACUGAGCCUUAAAACUUAUACUUCUUUCUGACCAUUUUGUGUUUUCUUCUUAUGAUUUAGUUUUCCAGGGUUUGACUUGAUCUACAUCAAUAUCUUAAAGCAGUUUUUUUACUGCUUCAUCCAAACACUGUGGCAAAUGCUGUUAUUAGUCUACCGAAUCUCCUCAGUGUCCUGUGAAGAUAUGAUACAUUGAACUGUUAUGAAUGCUGACAUUUUCUAUGUGCUGGAGAGGGACAUCCGUGCUUUAUCUAGAAUUCUACCAGUUCAGAAAAUGAUAAACUAAGAGACACCCUCAGCCAUUCCUCUAUAGGAAAUGUGCCAACCCCUCCAGGAAGAGAGGUAGCCUGAGUAUAUCCUGCUUUUCUCCUUUGAUUUAUAUGCAGAACGAGAUGAUUGAGAUGUUCUUUCAACAGUUGGGGGUGUGACUGAGAGGGUUAUAAAAACUUUUACUGCUUUGUAUAUGAGACAGCAGAGAAGACUGAAUGGAACUUCUAAUGUGGGCAUUUUCAAAGGAGCUUAAAGUGUGGGAUAUUACCAUAUGAAAUAAAGAUAAAGAAAAUCCACUGAACUUAAAACCCACUGAAUGAAAAUCUACUUAGGAACUACACUAUCUGUUAUAACUUCUUUAAAUGAGUUUUAAGUACAAGAUAUCUAACCCAUAACAGCUACUGGUGUAGUUUUUUGUUUCACUUUAUAACAUACAGUAUCAGUUAAAAGUUGUUACAUUAUUUUUAUAAACUGAUAAAAAAUGUGUUAAUGACUAUAAUAUAAAAAGACCACUUAAACUUAGUCUGUAAUGAAAACAAUAUUUUGUAUAAGUUGUAAUUUUUUUUAAUAUGUUAGAUUUUCUUGAAAUGAUGGCCCAAACUGAAUGCAACAUAGCAGAGCUUUUUUUUAAAAAAUGUAUUUCCUUUUUCAGGGCAAGUAAAAACAUAUUUGAAUGUGCAUAUUUCAAAACACAUUUAUAGUACACUUCUGAGUUUAAAAAAAGUAGACAAAAGACUUUAUUAUGGUAAAUUUACUGACUCUAUUUUUACUCAUACAUGAUGAUAACAUUUCAUCAUCAAAGUCCUUGCAUUUAGGAAAAGACAUGAAUGAAGCCUAUACAACUCUGAGGGGGCAAUGAAGAAAGGAAGGUACACUCUUACUUAAUUUAUCAGGAUAACUAGUAGUAGAAAUCGGCAUGACCAUCAUUAUGUAAAAAUAUUAGGAGCUGCUUUCAUUUUUUAACUUUAAAUUUUUAUUUUUUUUGGGCCACACCACAUGUGGCAUGUGGGAUCUUAGUUCUCCAACCAGGGAUCAAACCUGUGCCCCCUGCGCUGGAAGUGCAGAGUCUUAACCACUGGACCACCAGGGAAGUCCCAGGAGCUGCUUUCUUAACAAGGAAUUGUGUACCUCUGACAAAUAAGAGAAGUCUUUCAUUAGGUGUCAUAUCUCCUUUAUUGUGUAGGCAAUAGUCUCAAACAAUGACCAGAGAGACUGAAAAGAGGGCACAAAUUAACAUGUGAAAUCCAAAGAGGAGAAAGAUUUCAACGUUUUCUAAUUGAAACAUUGUCACAUUUCUCUUACAAUGGAACAUUGCUCUUAGCUUACUAAGACUCUAGAAGGCAUGAUCAGAAUAGCUGGAAAGGACCAGAACCAAAAACUCAAGUUAGGCAAGAUUUUGUAGACUCCUACAAUGAGUCAGACAACACUCAGGGCUGGAAGAACCAAGAGAAUACUACAGUAAGCUCUACGAAAUGUGAAGUAAGUGAGCUUUGAUCCAAAAAAGCAAAAGCUAGUGCUGUUGCUUCAUACUUCCUGGUUUGUGUGAGCAGGCCAUGGCAAACAUGUUAAGUAGCCAGGAAGGCCUGAUACAGAGCUAAGAAGAAGUCAGACAUUAUGUGCGGAGCAUAAGAAGCAGUUGUCUUUCUUACAUUUUUAUUAAGGGUCUAUUACCCUCUGGUAUGUGGAUGAGGACUUGCCUCUCUAUAAUAUCAUCUUCUUAACAUGUUUAUAGCACAAUAUUUGGCUAAUACAGCAGUCACUUCUUCAAUAUUAUGAUUAGGUAAAUAUUUAUUAUAUCUAUGUGGACAUACAUGCAAGUCAAGAAUUUUGUAUUGAUUGUUUCCUUGUUCAUAUGACUGUUUUUCCUGUAGUUAAUAGUUGCUUUGCUUUUCAUUUGUUAGUAAUGCUAAUUUCCACCCCCCGAAAUGCUCUAAUAGGUCUAACAAAUGCCUCUCUCUAUUUCUUCCUAAAAUCUCAAACACAUCAUCAUAUUAUCUAUUAAUUCCAUCUUCUUUCCCUGUAAACCUUUCUUCCACAGCUAAUAGUCUUCUAUUUUCAAUGUAAACUGGUUCUUUUCUAGGCCUAGUAGUUCUUGUUAUGGGAUUUUCUUUUGCUGUUCCCAUGUGUUAGAUCCUUUCUUUCCCAAAUCCUAUGCCUUUGUCUUUGUUGAUUAUGUCCUCGUUUGGCCUAAGCAUGUGUUCCAGAUGCUUCCUCAGAAAGUGUACAUGGGAGGUAAAAUUUUAAAGUCUUUGCAUAUCUGAACUAUCUUUAUCCUAUCUUUAUAUUCUAAUUAAUAGUUUGGCUAGAUAGAAUACUAGGUUGAAAGUGAUUUUUCCUCAGAAUUUUGAAGGUAUUGUUCCACUGUCUCCUGGAAUCCGGCACUACUUCUUCAGAACUCUGAUGACAUUUUGAAUGUUGUUCCUUUGUCUCUGAGCUAUUUAAAUUUUGUCUCUAAAAGCUUUAGGAUAUUCUUUUUAACCUGGAUGCUCUGAAAUUUCAUGAUGAUACACUUCAACUUGAAGUAAUUAUUAAAAUCAUUAUUCUUUUUAAAUUAAUUAAUUAAUUUUUUGGCUGCAUUGGGUCUUCAUUGCUGUGCACAGGCUUUCUCUAGUUGCACUGAGUGGGGGCUACUCUUUGUUGCGGUGCGCUGGCUUCUCAUUGCAGUGGCUUCUCUUGUUGUGGAGCACAGGCUCUAGGCAUGCGGGCUUCAGUAGUUGUGGCACGUGGGCUCAGUAGUUGUGGCUCGUGGGCUCUAGAGUGCAGGCUCAGUAGUUGUGGCACACGGGCUUAGUUGCUCUGCGGCAUGUGGGAUCUUCCUGGACCAGGGCUCGAACCCAUGUCCCCUGCAUUGGCAGGCGGAUUCUUAACCACUGCACCACCAGGGAAGUCCUAAAAUCAUUAUUGUUUUUUAAAUUUUUUUUUUUUAUU